rfam:Termitomyces sp. J132 unplaced genomic scaffold scaffold298, whole genome shotgun sequence.
GCCUCAGUUGCUUAGUGGUCAAAGCACAAUUCUGAAGAAAUUGAGAUGGGCAGUUCAAUUCUCUCCUAAGGCA